AAUUGAGUGGUGUAGUGGGUUCAGCAUUGGACUAUUGACCCUGGAGACCUGGGUUCAAAUCCCUGCUCACACA